GUCGUAGACUCAUGAUGUCUACAACACAGGUGAGGAUGACUUCCAGGAUAUACCGGAGGACCCUCGGGCGGAGUAGACGAGGAGGCGGGAUGGACGCAUGGUACUGUCCAUUGUCCGGGAGUGUAGAGCAUAUUGGAGUUACCGAGAGAGAUUUUUAUUUCUUUACCAUUCAAGAGGGGAAUGUUUGGUGAGGAUGACUUCCAAGAUAUGUCGGAGGACCCUCGAGCGGAGUAGAUGAGGAGGCGGGUUGGAUGCAUGAUACUGUCCGUUGUCCGAGAGUGCAGAGCAUACUGGAGUUACCGUGAGAGAUUUUUAUUUCUUUACCAGUCGAGAGGAGAAUGUUUG